GUCGAACGAGAGAAGAGAAGCUUGCUUUUCUGAUCUAGUGGCGGACGGGUGAGUAACACGUGAGCAAUCUGCCUUUCAGAGGGGGAUACCGAUUGGAAACGAUCGUUAAUACCGCAUAACAUAAUUGAACCGCAUGAUUUGAUUAUCAAAGAUUUAUCGCUGAAAGAUGAGCUCGCGUCUGAUUAGCUAGUUGGUAAGGUAACGGCUUACCAAGGCGACGAUCAGUAGCCGGACUGAGAGGUUGAUCGGCCACAUUGGGACUGAGACACGGCCCAGACUCCUACGGGAGGCAGCAGUGGGGAAUAUUGCACAAUGGAGGAAACUCUGAUGCAGCGAUGCCGCGUGAGGGAAGAAGGUUUUAGGAUUGUAAACCUCUGUCUUCAGGGACGAAAAAAUGACGGUACCUGAGGAGGAAGCUCCGGCUAACUACGUGCCAGCAGCCGCGGUAAUACGUAGGGAGCGAGCGUUGUCCGGAAUUACUGGGUGUAAAGGGAGCGUAGGCGGGAUCGCAAGUCAGAUGUGAAAACUAUGGGCUUAACCCAUAAACUGCAUUUGAAACUGUGGUUCUUGAGUGAAGUAGAGGUAAGCGGAAUUCCUAGUGUAGCGGUGAAAUGCGUAGAUAUUAGGAGGAACAUCAGUGGCGAAGGCGGCUUACUGGGCUUUAACUGACGCUGAGGCUCGAAAGCGUGGGGAGCAAACAGGAUUAGAUACCCUGGUAGUCCACGCCGUAAACGAUGAUUACUAGGUGUGGGGGGACUGACCCCUUCCGUGCCGCAGCAAACGCAAUAAGUAAUCCACCUGGGGAGUACGACCGCAAGGUUGAAACUCAAAGGAAUUGACGGGGGCCC
rnacentral:rRNA from 1 species